CCUACGGGCUGCAGCAGUAGGGAAUCUUCCGCAAUGGACGAAAGUCUGACGGAGCAACGCCGCGUGAGUGGUGAAGGCUUUCGGGUCGUAAAACUCUGUUGUUAGGGAAGAACAAGUGCUAGUUGAAUAAGCUGGCACCUUGACGGGACCUAACCAGAAAGCCACGGCUAACUACGUGCCAGCAGCCGCGGUAAUACGUAGGUGGCAAGCGUUAUCCGGAAUUAUUGGGCGUAAAGCGCGCGCAGGUGGUUUCUUAAGUCUGAUGUGAAAGCCCACGGCUCAACCGUGGAAGGUCAUUGGAAACUGGGAGACUUGAGUGCAGAAGAGGAAAGUGGAACUCCAUGUGUAGCGGUGAAAUGCGUAGAGAUAUGGAGGAACACCAGUGGCGAAGGCGACUUUCUGGUCUGUAACUGACACUGAGGCGCGAAAGCGUGGGGAGCAAACAGGAUUAGAUACCCUUGUAGUC
rnacentral:rRNA from 1 species